rnacentral:misc_RNA from 1 species
AAGAGUGAAUACUCCUAAACCAUUUGUUUAUCUACCUGUUUCGUUGCUUCGGCAGGCGGUCCUUCGGGUCCUUCGCCUCUUGUAGGUGCCUGCCGGAGUACCCAAAACUCUUGUUAAUUACUGUUUCUCUGAGUAAACUUUUAAUAAGUCA